rnacentral:rRNA from 2 species
AGUAACGGCGAGUGAAGCGGCAACAGCUCAAAUUUGAAAUCUGGCUCUUUCAGAGUCCGAGUUGUAAUUUGCAGAGGGCGCUUUGGCUUUGGCAGCGGUCCAAGUUCCUUGGAACAGGACGUCACAGAGGGUGAGAAUCCCGUACGUGGUCGCUAGCUAUUGCCGUGUAAAGCCCCUUCGACGAGUCGAGUUGUUUGGGAAUGCAGCUCUAAAUGGGAGGUAAAUUUCUUCUAAAGCUAAAUAUUGGCCAGAGACCGAUAGCGCACAAGUAGAGUGAUCGAAAGAUGAAAAGCACUUUGGAAAGAGAGUCAAACAGCACGUGAAAUUGUUGAAAGGGAAGCGCUUGCAGCCAGACUUGCUUGCAGUUGCUCAUCCGGGCUUUUGCCCGGUGCACUCUUCUGCAGGCAGGCCAGCAUCAGUUUGGGCGGUGGGAUAAAGGUCUCUGUCACGUACCAUCCUUCGGGAUGGCCAUAUAGGGGAGACGUCAUACCACCAGCCUGGACUGAGGUCCGCGCAUCUGCUAGGAUGCUGGCGUAAUGGCUGUAAGCGGCCCGUCUUGAAACACGGACCAAGGAGUCUAACAUCUAUGCGAGUGUUUGGGUGUCAAGCCCGAGCGCGUAAUGAAAGUGAACGGAGGUGGGAACCCGCAAGGGUGCACCAUCGACCGAUCCUGAAGUUUACGGAAGGAUUUGAGUAAGAGCAUGGCUGUUGGGACCCGAAAGAUGGUGAACUAUGCUUGAAUAGGGUGAAGCCAGAGGAAACUCUGGUGGAGGCUCGCAGCGGUUCUGACGUGCAAAUCGAUCGUCAAA